rnacentral:lncRNA from 1 species
ACUGUGGGCUUCUUGGGUGCCAAGAGGCAGACCACAGGCCCUCUUGAGGAGGAUUCUAUGUUCAAGUGCAGAAAGGGCCCAGUCUGGUAGAUGAACCACACGGCCAGCUUCUGGGUGCAGGCACAGUGCCACAUCUUCCAUCACUUCCUGAUGUGCCACACCAGCACUGAAGAGACAGCCUGGAGACAGGGCAAGAGGAAGGCUGAGAAGGAUGAGAUGGUGAGUGCCAGAUUCUCCCUGGCUCUGAGCCCACCUCCAGGGUGACACUCAAACUUUAGGAGUGGGAGAGCAAGAUUGACAGCUUCAAAUGCUUCACCAAGAAGAUGGACAACAGGGCACUCAGCUUAACUUCACAGCCAAUGAGUUGACAUGCAAGCAGGUGAUGGUGACAGGCUUUAAGAAAGAGCAUCAGAAGGCUGCCAGUUCUUCAGCCUCAGCCAGGCCUUGGAGCUGGACCAGCCCAUCCACUUCACCACAGAUGCCUUCAACACUGUCAGUGAGCUCUUUGCCAAUCAUCCCAGGCAGAACCUGGACCCAGUCAUGGACCUGUUAGUACUGUCUCAGGGACACCAGACCAACAUCCUGAACAUCAUCCACAUACACAAGCAAGUUCUUACCAAAGUCGCAGAAGGCAGGCAACAUGUGGCAGAAGGGAAGAUAGAGAUGCAGAGGCUGAUGACAUCAGAAUCACAGGAACAGGAAUUCUUUCACCACUUCAGUGGAAAUUCACCACUUCCAUCCAAUUUGAAUGAGAGACAUGAAAUCACAGAUGCAGCAUUUCUUGCAAAAAGAGAUACUAUUUUUUCAAAAAUCAUCCAGGAAUUGAUAGUGUUGAAUUACUAGAUAUUUGAUUGUGGACUGUUUACAG